rnacentral:rRNA from 1 species
AAUGAACGUUGGCGGCGUGGAUUAGGCAUGCAAGUCGUGCGGAAAGGCUCCUUCGGGAGUACUCGAGCGGCGAAAGGGAGAGUAACGCGUGGAUAUCUACCCCCUGGCCUGGGAUAGCGGCGGGAAACUGCCGGUAAUACCAGAUAAUGUCUGCGGACCAAAGGUGUGAUUCCGUCGGGGGAUGAGUUCGCGUCCUAUUAGCUAGUUGGUAGGGUAAUGGCCUACCAAGGAACAAAUGGGUACCGGGUGUGAGAGCAUGGCCCGGCUCACUGGGACUGAGACACUGCCCAGACACCUACGGGUGGCUGCAGUCGAGAAUCUUCGGCAAUGGGCGCAAGCCUGACCGAGCGACGCCGCGUGCGGGAUGAAGGCCUUCGGGUUGUAAACCGCUGUCAGAGGGGAGGAAAUGCGUAGGAGUUCUCUCUUACGUUUGACCUAUCCUCAGAGGAAGUACGGGCUAAGUUCGUGCCAGCCGCCGCCGUAACAC